rnacentral:rRNA from 1 species
CAGGGCCCUCUCCCGGGGCGUCUAGAAGAUCCUCUGGAACAUAUCAAACGCGCACCUAAGUACCCAGCUGUUGUAUAUUUAAGACACCUCCUCCCCCCCCUCCCUUUAGCGAACCGAUUUGUUGGAACUGCAUUACGUCCCUGGCCUUGUACACACCGCCCGUCGCUACUACCGAUUGAAUGGCUCGGUGAGGCCUUCGGACUGGCCCAGGAGGGUUGGCAACGACCCCCCAGGGCCGGAAAGUUGGUCAAACCCGGUCAUUUAGAGGAAGUAAAAGUCGUAACAAGGUUUCCGUAGGUGAACCUGCGGAAGGAUCAUUACCGAGUGUAGGGUUCCUAGCGAGCCCAACCUCCCACCCGUGUUUACUGUACCUUAGUUGCUUCGGCGGGCCCGCCAUUCAUGGCCGCCGGGGGCUCUCAGCCCCGGGCCCGCGCCCGCCGGAGACACCACGAACUCUGUCUGAUCUAGUGAAGUCUGAGUUGAUUGUAUCGCAAUCAGUUAAAACUUUCAACAAUGGAUCUCUUGGUUCCGGCAUCGAUGAAGAACGCAGCGAAAUGCGAUAACUAGUGUGAAUUGCAGAAUUCCGUGAAUCAUCGAGUCUUUGAACGCACAUUGCGCCCCCUGGUAUUCCGGGGGGCAUGCCUGUCCGAGCGUCAUUGCUGCCCAUCAAGCACGGCUUGUGUGUUGGGUCGUCGUCCCCUCUCCGGGGGGGACGGGCCCCAAAGGCAGCGGCGGCACCGCGUCCGAUCCUCGAGCGUAUGGGGCUUUGUCACCCGCUCUGUAGGCCCGGCCGGCGCUUGCCGAACGCAAAUCAAUCUUUCCAGGUGACCUCGGAUCAGCUUGAUGAUCCCCGUAA